rnacentral:rRNA from 1 species
GUGCACCAGGCGAGAAUACUUUACAAUGUGCGAAAGCACGAUAAGGGAACUCUGAGUGCCUCCUAAGGAGGCUGUUCAGGUGUCUAAAAAGCACCUGGAGUAAGGGCUGGGUAAGACCGGUGCCAGCCGCCGCGGUAACACCGGCAGCCCCAGGUGGUAGCCACUUUUAUUGGGUCUAAAGCGUCCGUAGCCGGUUGAGUAAGUUCCUUGGGAAAUUUGGCUGCUCAACAGUCAAGCUUCCAGGGAAUACUGCUCGACUUGGGACUGGGAGAGGGUCAGAGGUACUCCGAGGGGUAGGGGUGAAAGUCCAUUAAUCCCCUGGGGGACCACCGGUAGCGAAGGCGUCUGACCAGACCAGGUCCGACGGGUGAGGGACGAAGGCUA